GACAGAGGAUGCAAGCGUUAUCCGGAAUGAUUGGGCGUAAAGCGUCUGUAGGUGGCAGUUCAAGUCUGCUGUCAAAGACCGGGGCUUAACUUCGGAAAGGCAGUGGAAACUGAACAGCUAGAGUAUGGUAGGGGCAGAGGGAAUUCCUGGUGUAGCGGUGAAAUGCGUAGAGAUCAGGAAGAACAUCGGUGGCGAAGGCGCUCUGCUGGACCAUAACUGACAUCAGGGACGAAAGCUAGGGGAGCGAAUGG
rnacentral:rRNA from 1 species